rnacentral:rRNA from 1 species
UACGUAGGUGGCAAGCGUUGUCCGGAUUUACUGGGCGUAAAGAGCGCGCAGGCGGUCGUUCAAGUCGCGUGUGAAAGCCCCCGGCUCAACUGGGGAGGGUCACGCGAUACUGAUCGACUCGAAGGCAGGAGAGGGUAGUGGAAUUCCCGGUGUAGUGGUGAAAUUCGUAGAUAUCGAGUGGAACACCGGUGGCGAAGGCGGCUUUCUGGACAGGUACUGACGCUGAGACGCGAAAGCGUGGGGAGCAAACAGG